rnacentral:rRNA from 1 species
UGCAGAAUCCCGUGAACCAUCGAGUCUUUGAACGCAAGUUGCGCCCCAAGCCUUCUGGCCGAGGGCACGUCUGCCUGGGUGUCACAAAUCGUCGUCCCCCCUAAUCCUCUCGAGGAUACGGGACGGAAGCUGGUCUCCCGUGUGUUACCGCAUGCGGUUGUCCAAAAUCCGAGCAAAGGACGCAAAGAGCGUCCCGACAUGCGGUGGUGAAUACAAACUUCGUCAUAUUGUCGGUCGCUCUUGUCCGGAAGCUCUUAGAUGACCCAAAGUUCUCAACGCGACCCCAGGUCAGGCGGGAUCACCCGCUGAGUUUAAGCAUAUCAAUAAGCGGAGGAAAAGAAACUAACAAGGAUUCCCUUAGUAACGGCGAGCGAACCGGGAAGAGCCCAGCUUGAAAAUCGGACGUCUUCGGCGUUCGA